CAAUAAAAAUGAAGGACAGAAGUGACAAUCACUAAGAACAAUAAUAUGAGAAUUGAAUACAAGCUUGAUAAUUUCUAAAUCUAAAACUAUAACUGAUCUUCCAUCUUCAACAUUCAAAAAUUUCUCACCAUCCUCAAAUCUUUUACUGACCUACAGUUCCUAUAACGAAUUGCAAAUAUUAAUAGGACUACUAGUAUCUAAUAUCCAGAUCAUAAUAUCACAAAUAAAGAAGUUGUAAGGUGUCAUCAUAUAAUUAUCUUGCCCAGCAACUGCUUGCUUCUUCUUAUUCAGCCUGUUC
rnacentral:lncRNA from 1 species